GGCAUCCCCAAUUUUAAGUAAACAAAGCUGAAAGUGGCAUGCAAAUUUAAAUGAUUAACUUAAAAUUGAAGUGUCUGGGCACACUGCAAGCACGUGGGGAAAAUAACCUCUACGCCAGGUAAGUAUUGGAGCAAAGCUGUAACCAAGUUACAUAUUACGACGUGGCGAUUUCCCCCUUGAAAGGCGGGUGGCCAAAUAAUUCCCCUCUACCUAAGGGUAGAGCGGUAACUUAAAACCUCAAAAAAAAAAAAAAAAUGAUUAACUUAAACUAAAAAGCACGUGGGGAACAUAACCUCUACGCCAGGUAAGUAUUGGAGCAAAACUGUAACAAGUUACAUAUUUCGACGUGGCGAUUUCCCCCUUGUAAAGGCGGGCGGCCAAAUAAUUCCCCUCUACCCAAGGGUAGAGCGGUAACUUAAAACUUCAAAAAAAAAAAAUUAAAUAAAUGUUGAAGUAUAUUUGAAAAUGUGAAAAGAAAAUGAAAA
rnacentral:lncRNA from 1 species